rnacentral:rRNA from 1 species
GUGGGGAAUCUUGCGCAAUGGGCGAAAGCCUGACGCAGCCAUGCCGCGUGAAUGAUGAAGGUCUUAGGAUUGUAAAAUUCUUUCACCGGGGACGAUAAUGACGGUACCCGGAGAAGAAGCUCCGGCUAACUUCGUGCCAGCAGCCGCGGUAAUACGAAGGGGGCUAGCGUUGCUCGGAAUUACUGGGCGUAAAGGGCGCGUAGGCGGACAGCUUAGUCAGAGGUGAAAGGCCAGGGCUCAACCUUGGAAUUGCCUUUGAUACUGGCUGUCUUGAGUUUGGGAGAGGUGAGUGGAACUCCGAGUGUAGAGGUGAAAUUCGUAGAUAUUCGGAAGAACACCAGUGGCGAAGGCGACUCACUGGCCCAAUACUGACGCUGAGGCGCGAAAGCGUGGGGAGCAAACAGGAUUAGAAACCCGUGUAGUCC